UUGCUGGUUCUGUUGAGAAUGCUCAAUGGUUGAGCAGUAUAUAUGGUUAUUAAUAUUACUGAGACUAUUUUCUUGCUUGUAAUGAAUGAUGCCAGUCUUAGUCCAUCACAAUUGUUGAAUGGUCAAGCUGCAGGGAACGAAGCAUCUACUGACAACAAUCAGGUGGCUUCACAAAAUGCAGCAUCCGAAGUGCAAUCAAACCCUCAACUGAACACAGUGAAUGAGGUGACAUCAACAAACUUUCUACCUCAACCUCCAUUACCUACAACUGGACCUCAAGGUAAAUAUAUGAACAGCGGUCUUAGGUUUCUUCAGUGUAGUUCCAAAGUUGGCAUUAUAAUGCAAAUAAAAUGUUCCAAAUAAGAAUUAU